GUAUUCUAAUUUCCGUUGCACUCAAACUCUGUUCGAAAUUUCCAACACUCCAAACUGUACAACAUAAUCAGUCUCAUCAUACUCUUGUAGAAUUUAUGUUUAAGUCCAAUUGAAAUUAUUUUAAUAUUCAGAGAAUAAUUGGAUAUUGUAGAUACAUACAAAAAUUUCAAAUAGAAACCGCUGUUUUCCUCCAUUUGAUCUAAUUACAUUUAAUCGUUUGCUUCACAUCCCCUUCAAAGCUACUAUUAUUUUGUACAUACGACCCCAUAUAUUUGAAACUCUUAAGCUCGCUUAUUAUGUCACUGCUUAUUGACAUUCCUCGUCUUAUCCGCUCAACGUCAUGAUCUCAUCCU